GGCUCUGUGGCGCAAUGGAUAGCGCAUUGGACUUUUAGGCUGUGAGCUGAGACAUUCAAAGGUUGGAGGUUUGAGUCCCACCAGAGUCG
rfam:Danio rerio chromosome 4, GRCz11 reference primary assembly.